rnacentral:rRNA from 1 species
CAGCAGCCGCGGGAAUACAGAGGGUGCGAGCGUUAAUCGGAUUUACUGGGCGUAAAGCGUGCGUAGGCGGCUUCUUAAGUCGGAUGUGAAAUCCCUGAGCUUAACUUAGGAAUUGCAUUCGAUACUGGGAAGCUAGAGUAUGGGAGAGGAUGGUAGAAUUCCAGGUGUAGCGGUGAAAUGCGUAGAGAUCUGGAGGAAUACCGAUGGCGAAGGCAGCCAUCUGGCCUAAUACUGACGCUGAGGUACGAAAGCAUGGGGAGCAAACAGGAUUAGAUACCUCUGUAGUCCCUGUCUCUUAUAC